UGUGCGAACAGACAGGUCUACACAUAGCGUCCAGUCCUCUGACACCUUAGAAAUGGCGAACGGGAUGAUGAUCUCGGCAGGGACAUGGAACUGGAGUGCAUAGGUGAAGAAAAUGCCAACAGAAUACAUCAGCUUGACUGACUGGUACAACCUGCGGACAGAUCAUCGAGAGGAUGUGAAAUGCAGCAUGGCUCCUGGGAAGGGCUGAUGAGGCCUCACUCAUUGCUUGGCAGCUGCUGAUGGCCACUGAGUUCCAGAACUGGCUGCUGUCCAGACUGGCCCCAGGGGCAACCUGGAAUGCCUAAGUGAUCUUGGCUGACUGGACCUGAACCCCAACACUUGUACUGAAUACUCUGCCAGAAGAGCCUUCUUCACCUGUUGAAAAUUGUCUGCCAUAAACAUAAAGUAGACGCUGCAGAAGCCCAGUUGUGUGAUGAUUAAUAAGAAGCUGACCAUGUACCUGGGGAAGAAAAGAACAGGCAGACUGAGAAAGCAAGCAUUAAUGUGAUUGUAUGAGAACAUGUUUAAAAAUUUGAACAAGAAAUUGAAGCAGUUGUUUCUAUCGAUAUUUUCCCUCAUUUCUUUGAAUUUUAAAAAAUGUCAGUGCCACAGAGAAAGUUGAAAGAACAGUAUUAUGAACAUUUGCAUGCCCUCUAAUAUGCCAAUCAAUAAUUUAUCAUGUAUAAUACAUACACA